rnacentral:rRNA from 1 species
AAUUUUGGACAAUGGGGGCAACCCUGAUCCAGCCAUCCCGCUUGUGUGAAGAAGGCCUUCGGAUUUUAAAGCACUUUAAGUUGGGAGAAAAGGCUGUAGGCUAAUACCCUGCAGUUUUGACGUUACCUACAGAAUAAGCACCGCCUAACUACGUCCCAGCAGCCGCGGUAAUAAAGAGGGUGCAAGCGUUAAUCGGAAUUACUGGGGGUAAAACGCGCGUAGGUGGGUCAGUAAAAUAGGUGUGAAAUCCACGGGGUUAAACUGGGAAAAGGUUUCAUAACGGAUGAGCUAGAGUACGGUAGGGGGUAGUGGAAUUUCCUGUGUAGGGAUGAAAUGCGUAGGUAUAGGAAGGAACAAUAGUGGAGAAGGCGAGUACCUGGACUGAUAAUGACAGUGAGGUGCGAAAGCGUGGGGAGCAAACA